AUGUUCUCUGUAGCUCUGCUGCUGCUGCUGGCUGCUGGGAGUGUGAAGUGUGAACAGUUGACCCAGCCAGCCUUUGUGACUGUGCAGCCAGGUCAACGUCUGACCAUCACCAGUCAGGUCUCUUAUUCUCUCAGCAGCUACAACACAGCUUGGAUCAGACAGCCUGCAGGGAAAGGACUGGAGUGGAUUGGAAUGAAACAUACUGGAGCUUCAUACUACAAAGAUUCCCUGAAGAACAAGUUUAGUAUUGACUUAGAGACUUCCAGCAAGACAGUGACUCUAAAUGGACAGAAUGUGCAGCCUGAAGACACUGCUGUGUAUUACUGUGCCAGG